CACUGGAACUGAGACACGGUCCAGACUCCUACGGGAGGCAGCAGUGGGGAAUUUUGGACAAUGGGCGCAAGCCUGAUCCAGCAAUGCCGCGUGAGUGAAGAAGGCCUUCGGGUUGUAAAGCUCUUUUGUCAGGGAAGAAACGGUGAGGGCUAAUAUCCCUUGCUAAUGACGGUACCUGAAGAAUAAGCACCGGCUAACUACGUGCCAGCAGCCGCGGUAAUACGUAGGGUGCAAGCGUUAAUCGGAAUUACUGGGCGUAAAGCGUGCGCAGGCGGUUUUGUAAGUCUGUCGUGAAAUCCCCGGGCUCAACCUGGGAAUUGCGAUGGAGACUGCAAGGCUAGAAUCUGGCAGAGGGGGGUAGAAUUCCACGUGUAGCAGUGAAAUGCGUAGAGAUGUGGAGGAACACCGAUGGCGAAGGCAGCCCCCUGGGUCAAGAUUGACGCUCAUGCACGAAAGCGUGGGGAGCAAACAGGAUUAGAUACCCUGGUAGUCCACGCCCUAAACGAUGUCUACUAGUUGUCGGGUUUUAAUUAACUUGGUAACGCAGCUAACGCGUGAAGUAGACCGCCUGGGGAGUACGGUCGCAAGAUUAAAACUCAA
rnacentral:rRNA from 1 species